rnacentral:rRNA from 1 species
AGUGAACGCUGGCGGUAGGCCUAACACAUGCAAGUCGAACGGCAGCACAGUAAGAGCUUGCUCUUACGGGUGGCGAGUGGCGGACGGGUGAGGAAUACAUCGGAAUCUACUUUUUCGUGGGGGAUAACGUAGGGAAACUUACGCUAAUACCGCAUACGACCUACGGGUGAAAGCAGGGGAUCUUCGCACCUUGCGCGAUUGAAUGAGCCGAUGUCGGAUUAGCUAGUUGGCGAGGUAAAGGCCCACCAAGGCGACGAUCCGUAGCUGGUCUGAGAGGAUGAUCAGCCACACUGGAACUGAGACACGGUCCAGACUCCUACGGGAGGCAGCAGUGGGGAAUAUUGGACAAUGGGCGCAAGCCUGACCCAGCCAUACCGCGUGGGUGAAGAAGGCCUUCGGGUUGUAAAGCUCUUUUGUUGGGAAAGAAAAGCAGCAGGUUAAUACCCCGCUGUUCUGACGGUACCUAAAGAAUAAGCACCGGCUAACUUCGUG